rnacentral:rRNA from 1 species
GCUUAACGCGAAGAACCUUACCUGGUCUUGACAUCCACGGAACUUUCCAGAGAUGGAUUGGUGCCUUCGGGAACCGUGAGACAGGUGCUGCAUGGCCGUCGUCAGCUCGUGUCGUGAGAUGUUGGGUUAAGUCCCGCAACGAGCGCAACCCUUGUCCUUAGUUGCCAGCACGUAAUGGUGGGAACUCUAAGGAGACCGCCGGUGACAAACCGGAGGAAGGUGGGGAUGACGUCAAGUCAUCAUGGCCCUUACGACCAGGGCUACACACGUACUACAAUGGGAAGGACAGAGGGCUGCAAUCCCGCGAGGGGGAGCCAAUCCCAGAAACCUUCUCUCAGUCCGGAUCGGAGUCUGCAACUCGACUCCGUGAAGUCGGAAUCGCUAGUAAUCGCAGAUCAGCAUUGCUGCGGUGAAUACGUUCCCGGGUCUUGUACACACCG